rnacentral:rRNA from 1 species
CACGUAGGGUGCGAGCGUUGUCCGGAAUUAUUGGGCGUAAAGAGCGUGUAGGCGGCCUGGCAAGUCCGCUGUGAAAACUCGAGGCUUAACCUCGAGACGUCGGUGGAAACUGCCUGGCUAGAGUCCGGAAGAGGAGAGUGGAAUUCCUGGUGUAGCGGUGAAAUGCGCAGAUAUCAGGAAGAACACCCGUGGCUAAGGCGGCUCUCUAGUACGGUACUGACGCUGAGACGCGAAAGCGUGGGGAGCGAACAGG